GCAGACACAUUCCAGCCAAUCAGCAGCAGACACUCCCUCCCAGACCCUCCCACCUCCUGGACAGCUCACUAAGAAUGCAGCUUCACAAUGAAUGUAAAAUGGAUGCUGUCCAGGAGGUGGGAGGGUCUGGGAGGGAGGGUCUGCUGCUGAUUGGCUGGAAUGUGUCUG